rnacentral:lncRNA from 12 species
AUGCCAGAGAAGGGGCCAAGCAGUGGCCAGAGGGCGACACAGAGUGGACCCAGAGCAUUGUCUGAUGUCCAGACACACGAGGCUGGCCUCACCUGGACCCAAAGAAGGUCACGGAACCCAAAGACAGAAGCAAGUCCUGUCCAGGCCCUGCGAGCUCCCCCGGCUGAACCGCCUUCGAGAGUCAAGAUCCGCUGUCGUGGAGUCAGAGGCGUCUGGAGCUGUCGCCGGGCUGUCCAGCGGGAGACGCUCCCUCGGUGGCCGGAGGCCUCCCAGGUCCCUGCGGAGAAGCGCGUCCCUCGAGGAGCUGUUGACGGCAGUGAUGAGAGGCUCGGGGGCAGGGAGCUCAUGAGAGGACCGUUUCUAGGAAAAAGAAAAGCAGGGAGCGCAGAGGACACCCCGAUGGGACUGAAGACUGAGGGGCCCCUGGAUGUCCAGGCCUUUCACGCGUCCCAGGUCACCGGACACCCUGGCUGGGCAGGUGCUGCCGGGUCUCUGGGCCCCGGUGCUCGGAAGUCCCCGGGCCCCAAAUGGGACACCCGUUGGAAAUGGGCUCACGGCACCCGCGAACAAACAAUACCCGAAGGCCCGGGGCUCUACCUCCGGGUGCAGUGGUGCCUGCGUCAGGCCAGGGGCCGGGGCCCUCUCUGUAGGCGGCCCACAUGGGCCCAGGCGUCAGGGCUGCAGGAGCCGCCCCCACUACUACACCCAGUCACCCUCCUGCACCACCCUCACCUCCCGCCGGGGAACAGCAAGCCGUCCGGGGCUGCGGGGACGAUGACUCCUUUCCGCUACACGAUAGUGGUUCCAUGGACUUGGAAGGCGAGCCUGCCACCGGCAUUUAGGGUCCUCACGUCCCAGUUCCAGGGCUCUGGAUUUCAGGGCUGCAGGGCCCCCUCAGGCUUCUCCACCUUAACAGCCCCCAAAUGUCCCAUUCACCCCCUCAGUUCGAGGGCGGUAACCUCUUACCAAGACUGCUACAUCCCGAACGUUUCCUUUUCUGCCUUUCCCUCUCUUUAG